GGUUAGUUGAACAGGCCAACUGGCCAACCCACCAAUGACCUAUGUAUAUACCCAAACUAGGCAACCCACCAAUUUCUGACAACACAGCCCACUUUUAUUCCACAGCAACCAGCAACAGUAACAGAAACCAGAAACACAGCACCCAGAAAUCAGAAUCACAAACCAAAGCAACAAAACAAGUAAGAGAUAGAGAGAAAAAAAAAAAGGAAGUGAUGAACAAUCUCUCACCCUCUUCAUCAAAUGCAGCAACUCACUAUUAUAUUUCUACCCCAAAAACAGCCAUUUUCAUCCUACUUUUUCUUUUUAUAAUUGGAGUUGGUGUUUCACUCUUUAUACUUAUUGAAGUUCACAAUGCUCUCUUCUUAAUUGCUUCUCUUUUACUCUCCGCCAUUGUUUCUGCUCUUCUUUUAUGGAAUGCUGUCUGCUUCCGCCGUAACACCGCCCUCUUGCUCUUCCUUCGCUCUUUCCCUGUUAGCGACCUCCGCCAUGCCUGCCAUGGUCAACUUGUCCACAUUACUGGGUCUCUUGCGCUGAUGUUUGUUUAGAAUCAUCGUAUGAAAAGGUGGGUGGAUGCGUUUACACAUCAACUCUUCUAUAUGAAUAUGAAGGAUUUGGAUUGAAUGCUAAGCAACCUUGCUUUCUCUGGAAAUUAGCCUAUUCUGAGUGAACAAUUUGGAUGGUUCCCCUUUUGCAGAGGUUCUCUACAGACUUCUACAUAUCUGAUAAAAACUCUGGCAUUCGAACUUUGGUAAAAGCUGGAUAUGGAUGUGGACUCAUUCCCCUUAUUGUUGAGAGCAGGCUUGUGUACACAAGAAAAAACAGAAUUCUAUCUCCCAACUUGACAAAAUGGCUGACAGACAGAAAUCUUUCAGCUGAUUCUCGGGUUAUACGCCUUGAAGAAGGCUAUAUAAAAGAAGGUGAUUGUGCUACUGUCAUAGGCAUGCUGCAUAAAGCUGGUGAUGAUAUUGCAAUGAUUGUUCAGCCACCGGAGCUCGUUUCCACUGGCUGUCUGUGGCAAAGACUACUAUAUCCUGUCAAUUUCGAUGGAUUACUGCUCGCUCGCUCCUGAUAUCUCUAAUAAGGCAUCUUCAGCUAUGUUACUCAGACACGGAUUGAGUGUCUACUCGGAUACGGGUGUUCAAGUGUCCGACUCGGCUAUUUUGUAGAAAAAAACUCAAGUAUUUAGUUUAAAAUGAAGUAUCCAAGUAAAGUGUUUUUGAGGUAAAUGAAGGUGUCGGAGUAACACUAAUUUUCAGUGUUCAUGAUGAACUCAACCCAACAGAACUAAUACUGGAAAUUUUGACUUUAACUGUAACCAUAAGUAAUAGGACUGUUGCUGAGAA